GAGACUAUAAUUUAAUAAAAAUAUUUAAUUUGCACUUAAAAAAUGUUUACAGACUAAUCUCU
rnacentral:tRNA from 1 species